rnacentral:tRNA from 1 species
UGCAUCGGCCGGGAAUCGCCCGCGUGGCAGGCGAGCAUUCUACCACUGAACCACCAAUGC